UGGGGAAUCUUGCACAAUGGGGGCAACCCUGAUGCAGCGACGCCGCGUGAGCGAUGAAGCCCUUCGGGGCGUAAAGCUCUUUCGACCGGAACGAUAAUGACGGUACCGGGAGAAGAAGCUGCGGCUAACUACGUGCCAGCAGCCGCGGUAAUACGUAGGCAGCAAGCGUUGUUCGGAGUUACUGGGCGUAAAGUGUGCGUAGGCGGUUUUCUAAGUUCGGUGUGAAAUCUCCCGGCUUAACUGGGAGGGUGCGCCGAAGACUGGGAAGCUGGAGUGUGGGAAAGGCAGGCGGAAUUCCUGGUGUAGCGGUGAAAUGCGUAGAUAUCAGGAGGAACACCGGCGGUGUAGACGGCUUGCUAGACCAUAACUGACGCUGAGGCACGAAAGCGUGGGGAGCAAACA
rnacentral:rRNA from 1 species